UAAGUUGAAGUUUUCUAAACGUUAAAUUUUGAAUUUAAAAUUGGUAAUUAAAUUUACCCUUCUUAA
rnacentral:tRNA from 1 species